AAUGGGUCAGCGACUUAUAUUCUGUAGCAAGGUUAACCGAAUAGGGGAGCCGAAGGGAAACCGAGUCUUAACUGGGCGUUAAGUUGCAGGGUAUAGACCCGAAACCCGGUGAUCUAGCCAUGGGCAGGUUGAAGGUUGGGUAACACUAACUGGAGGACCGAACCGACUAAUGUUGAAAAAUUAGCGGAUGACUUGUGGCUGGGGGUGAAAGGCCAAUCAAACCGGGAGAUAGCUGGUUCUCCCCGAAAGCUAUUUAGGUAGCGCCUCGUGAAUUCAUCUCCGGGGGUAGAGCACUGUUUCGGCAAGGGGGUCAUCCCGACUUACCAACCCGAUGCAAACUGCGAAUACCGGAGAAUGUUAUCACGGGAGACACACGGCGGGUGCUAACGUCCGUCGUGAAGAGGGAAACAACCCAGACCGCCAGCUAAGGUCCCAAAGUCAUGGUUAAGUGGGAAACGAUGUGGGAAGGCCCAGACAGCCAGGAUGUUGGCUUAGAAGCAGCCAUCAUUUAAAGAAAGCGUAAUAGCUCACUGGUCGAGUCGGCCUGCGCGGAAGAUGUAACGGGGCUAAACCAUGCACCGAAGCUGCGGCAGCGACACUGUGUGUUGUUGGGUAGGGGAGC
rnacentral:rRNA from 1 species